UUUAACCAGUCAAGUCAAUCAACCAAAGCACUCUGUCUUUAGUCUUAAGGUAAAUGUUACCAAGGCCAGAAGGCUUAUGUGACUCCCCGUGGCCAAGGACCUCCUAAGACUGGUCUCUCUCUUUCUGUUCUGCUCACCAAAUAAUUUAUUCAUUAUCAGAGCUUUCUUCAUAUGGUCGGUCAUAGGCUGAAGAUGUAUCCAACGUUUAGGUUCUCCCUGAGAUCUAAGCCUAAUGGUUCCCACCUCUAAAGUUACGACAGCCUCUUGCUGGUUCUGGGUCCAGGUUAAGAUUUGACCCUUAAAGGCAAGUGUUGGUCAAUCUUUUGCUCAUGUUCCACUUCACCAUUAGUGGUAUAAGUUUUCCGCGUAGACGCUGACCCACCUGAACAGUGCUCUUCCAAAGGCCAAUUCUCCUCCUCCUCCUGGGCUAGGAAGAUUUUGCCCAGCACCUGGGGCUGGCUUAUCUUGUGCUUCCAUUGUAUUUUUCCCCCUUUGAGGAAUUCUGAUCAAAUACCUCUUUCUUAAACUGGAAUAGCCUGUUUUCCUGUCACCGCGGGGUCAGGGACUUCAUUCAGAGCUUUGUGCUGCUUGACCAAAGACACAUCUGAAGAGCACCAUUUUAAAGUUUUGUUUUUUUUCUUUUGACCAAAGCUUAAUUGAAGAGAACUUUUGGCUUUAUUUAUUGUGCUGAAGAUGAAUUUAUCUUUUAGUAGCAAUCACGUGUUAGAAGGAAGGACUGAGAACAGAAUGGGGGGAAAAACUAUUUAGAAGUACAUUUUGUAUGCCAUUCUUUAAAAUGAUUCUUAUUACUGAUAAAGAUCCCAAACCAAGUCCUUCUGAGGACCUGUCAGCUGCAGUACAAGGACAAGAAGAGAGGCAGUGUCAUUUGUGAAGCUCUGUUUUCAUGCCCUGGAUCUGUUAUCUUUGGCCCUCUUGGCAUCUGUGAGCUUUUAGCCCUUGGCAUGUUCUAAAGUUGUAUGUGAGUUUUUUAAAGAGUAGAAAUGGGUGAACAGGCUGGGUGUGGUAACCUAUGCCUUUAAUCCUAUAUCUCAGAAGGCAGAGGCAGGCUGAUCUCAGUUUGAGGUCAGCCUGGUCUGCAUAGUGAAACCUGAAGAGGGAGACAGAGAAUAAAAAGAUUCCAUAACUAAGUCCUAUAAAGCUCAAAUACCUUCCUUCCUCACAUUCCAUCUUAGAAUCCCACUGGAGUACUAAGUAUUUUGCACAGCACUUACUAUUUAAUGAUGCAGACCUAAUAGGGCUUGCAAAAGUAACAAGCCUUAAGCAGUGAACGCGCCUGCUAGUCUUUUAGCUCACAUGAAAUCACUUCAAAUUAAAAUGCUCUUACGGGCAUCUAAAUUUUUCUGUAUGUAUCUCUUGGUGCAAAGUUUAUUUUGGGCUAAACGUAACUAAGUUAAAGAUUUUUGUUAUUGUUUGUCGGGUUGGUUGGGUUUUUUGUUUUGUUUUGAAGAGACAAAACCCCUGUGUUCUACCCUUGAUCUCUACUUCCGAGAGGACAAAAUGGUUUAUACACUUUAUAUGUGGCUGUUUUUUUGUAAAUCUGUAAUAGAAAUCUCUGGCCCAAUUAUGUCAUAAGUGACUAUAAUCCAAAAAUCAUAGUGAAUAGAGAUAGUGAAUAGAGACCUGGGCCCUAAAUAGAUAGAUUCAGGCAUUCCUAAGUCAGCCAUCACCACCAAAGCCGACUGUACUUUGCCUCAUGCUUUUCAUUUAGCAUUGUCCUUACUCCUGUGUUUGUAAGACCCACUUCACAGCCCACGUCAGGAACCAGAAGAUAAUCAGAAUCAUGCAGAAGAUUUGGCCCGAGGGGCAAGGGCAGGGAAUAAAUAUCUCCUCUUCAUAGUAACCUUGUUUAAAGGAUCUAGCCUUGGAGCUGAAGAGAGGGCUUAGUGGUUGGGGACACUGACUUCUUUUUCAGAGGACCCGGGUUCAAAUCUCAGCACCCACGGGGUAGCCCACAACUGUCUGUAACUCCAAGAUUUGAUGCUCUCACAUAGACAUACAUGUAGGCAAAAUACAUAAACUAAAGGUAAAUAAAUAAAACUUGGUGGGAAAAAAAUAACCAGCCCCCUUCCACCCUUCAUUCACAGUCUUCACUUCUGACUCAAACCCUCUCGUAGGCUGAAGGGUAGAGCGUCCUCAGAGAGAUCUGCCUCUGAGCCUGGACUGACAUUCUGGAUUCUGCCUCCAGAGGACACUGACAAGUGCUGGUGCACCAUAUGGGGAGCUGUAGGGCAGACAACCUGCUCCUUGCAUGCACAACCAUGCACUUUGGUGUUUCUUCCCUUAUUAGUUAAGGGUAUCCAUAUCUGAGUCUCUGAUGACUGGCAAGGUAUAUAGCCACAUUACCUGGUGUGUAAUAUAUCUUGCAAAAAGCAAGAUAAACAUCUGGCUUAGAUUUCUUGACUUUAGACAAAGGGGGAAAUGAUACCUGCUACCACCUGUUUUUCCAAACUGAUGAAUCUACCUAAUUGCAGUAUUUUGACAAAACCCAUAGAAAUGUAAAUAAAUGGUUGCUGUGGGAUCAAGUAUGGUACACACCUGUAAUCUCAGAAGGCAGAAGCAAGCAGAUCUAGAAUUAUAAAUUAUUCUGUGUUACAAAGUGAGACUCUACAGAAGGAACAAAAAGAGAGUGGACUAUUGCUAUGACUUAAUGUCAGGACGCUGUUCUCCCAGUGUUCUAGGUAAGACACAGCUGCGUGUUCGUGCCUCUCUGCUUCCAACAUGGGGUUAGUUAAGAAAAGGAGAGCAGUAGGCUUUCCUCUCUUCCUGUGCCAAGCUGAUCAGGAGCUGUCAAGUAUUUCUCACAAAUAAAACCACGUUAGCCUGGGGCUAUGAAGGGGGAGUUAUUAAAAUCGGGGGUUAGUUAAGAAAAGGAGAGCAGUAGGCUUUCCUCUCUUCCUGUGCCAAGCUGAUCAGGAGCUGUCAAGUAUUUCUCACAAAUAAAACCACGUUAGCCUGGGGCUAUGAAGGGGGAGUUAUUAAAAUCGGGAUUCUGCUUGGCAGUUUAUCAAAGAAUAUAUAGUGCCUCCACCCCACCCCCUCCAGUUCCAGAACCUAUGGAUAACCUCUUACCUGCUUACUAGUAUACUCAGUACCCAGCAGGCAUCUUAAUCCAUUAAGCUGGUUAAUCAAAACACCUUCCAAGUGGAGAAAAGCAUAUCCUUCCUCCCCUCUGCCUUAUCCACGUGAAGUGUGUGCUCGGGCUUCUAGCCAGCGCACAGGGAACAGAGGGAGGCCCACCAGGGAUCCUGGCUUGCCUACCGAAGGCUAUUGCUGCUGUAGUUUUCAGUGACUUCUGUCUUCUAAGAUGCUUUUUCCUGUAGAUUGAAAGGUUUCUAGGAAGAAAACAAACGGGAACUUGCUUAGGCCCUAAUGAUGAGCGUUUUCCUCUUUGUGGAGUCUGAAGGCUCACAUUCACAGUUUACCCUUAGGAGCAGCCUGGUGGGCGGGAGCUGUGAGCUUGUUUGCUACGAUGUGGCCUUAAAACUGUUACUGUUUCCAGUGUGAUGAAUUCUAAUAAGUCAACCCUGAAGAAUGCUGUGGCUCUUGUCCCGUGUCACUGCUUUUGUGUAAAGCUUUGUUCUUUGGGAGCAGUUAUUGGAGACGGAAUGAAAGGUGCUUGCAAGAACAGCACCCUGAUGUGCUCAGUGUCUGUUUCCUGCGCCCUCUGCACUCUUUCCGUGUGCAAGGAACUCCAGUUAACUCAAAGUCCAGCACAGGUCCCAGGUAAUUCGUGUACACAUCCUGAGUAGAGAAUGUACCAAGGGUGGUGGAGUUAUCGUCCCCCUUAACACUGUAUGUCAGGAUUAGUUUAGCCAAUAGUUGGAAUUAAGAGCUUCCUUACUAGUUUGUUCUUCACAGGACAUAGAAACCUCUCCUGUUUGUUUAGCCUGCAUGCCCACAGUCUUGAUGAUCCCUCUCUGUACAAAGGCAGCUAACAAUAAGGGACGGGGGAAGAGAAGAGAACAGGUGUCUGUGGGAGAGUUGAAUUAGAGUGAUCUUGUAGAUCCACGUUUUCCCACUGACCAAGUUACUGUAGGCUGGAGUCUGCAAGGUGUACUGUGUCGUGAACCCUUUUCAUUCUUGUAAUGUUCUUAUCAUCUGGGAAUGUGAGAUUUUUAAUUUUAGGAAUAAUCUUACAAAUAAUCACUCUUCUGUAGCCGUCUUGCCAGAUGUUUUAUUUUUCUUUAUUUUAUUUUAUUUUAUAUUGGAUGACUGUGAAGCUAUACAUAGUAGGUUAUGGAGGAUAUCAAUUUUCAGAGUGCAUGUUAAGAAAUAAAGCGAACCUACUUGAGAUGAAUCAUCCCAUAAAUAUUGUUUUGCCCUAAUAAAAUAUUCAGAAAU
rnacentral:lncRNA from 1 species